UCGUCAGGUGGGAUAAUCCUUACCUGUUUCUCCUUUUGUAGAACAGAUUUGAAUAUGAUGAUUGGAAUUUGCAUGAUUUGCGAUUAAAUGUUUCUGUGGAAUCAGGACUUCCAACACCCUGAUUGCUCCUAUCUGAU